rnacentral:sRNA from 1 species
AUUUUAUUUAUUUAUUUU